rnacentral:lncRNA from 1 species
AGGAAUGAGGGUAAUGUUCAUAACCCACGAUGAAAGCCCGCGAAGUUUAACGAAUGUUAUCUCAUGUACUUAGUUGCAUAAUGAGGUUGGUUUUAUUAACCUAAGAAUUAAUUGAAUUUUUUGAGAAGACUCGGUAACACGGGAAAAAUGUUGGAUUGAAAAAUCAUGGAUUUGAAUCAAAAGUAUAUUUUGAUUAGAAUGAAAAUAUAUUUGUUGCAUCAUUAUUUUUAUUGUAAGCCUAAUAAAUCACAGUUUUGGCUUGAGACAUAAAGUCUAUUGUUAAAAUCCUUUUUUCAAGGUAAACUCACCUUUAAUAUCCAAUAAAUUUUAGAUACGAGGGUAUUUGAGUCGAGGCAUGUGGAUUGUCGUUAUGUUUAUUUUAUUUUGGCAAAUUGUAAAUGUAUUUGGGAAGUUGUAAUUAUUUUUGGCCGGGUGUGGACAUUGAUCCAUGAAAUAUCAUCUCGUUGUAUUGAUCGUUUAUGGAGGCAUGUCUACGGUAGGAGUAGAGUCUACUCUGAUGUAAUAACAGUGUAUUGCCAUGUUAUUUAGUUUGACUUUUUCAUAUUUGAGUUAUUUGCUUAUGUGGUCGGAUCUGGGUUUGACCGGGGCAUGACAUGUAGCACGAGGGUAUAGUCAAGAAGAAGGAAUAUAAUUUGAUAAAUCAUUUACUCCCGUAGCUAAAUUAGAAGGUAUAUGAAUGCUACUUGCGUUUGCAUGCUAUAUCAACUUCAAACUAUACCAAAUGGAUAUAAAUAUGCAUUUUUAAAUGUAUACAUUACUAAGAAGGUAUCUGUUGCAUAACUUCCAGGCUUUGAGAAUCAUGAAUUUCCGAACCACGUAUAUAAGCUUUUAAAAGCACUCUAUGAAUUAAAGAAAACUCCAAGAGCUUGGUGUGAAAGACUAAGUGAGUUUUUAAAUGAAAAUGACUUUAUUCAAGAAAAAAAAAUUACACCUUAUUCGUAAAAAUUAAAAAUAAAGACAUACUUAUUGUGCAAAUAUAUGUAGAGGACAUUAUAUUUGGUGCUACUAAUGAUAUUAUGUGCAAGGAUUUUACUAAGUGUGUGCGAGUUCAACUUCUUCCUUAGACUACAAAUCAAGUAAUCAAGUGAGAUAAAUUAUACAAACCAACCAAAAUAUAUAAAUGAGUUGAUCAAAUGUUUCAGCAUGAUGAGAGCCAUUAGCUACCCCGAUGAGCACAUCUAUAAAGCUUGACAAGACAACAACGCUAAAAAUGUAGAUGAAAAAAUCUAUUGAGGUAUCAUUGGAUCUCUACUCUAUUUAACUGAAAGUAGACCCGAUAUCAUGCUUAGUGUAUGCAUAUGUGCUAGAUUUCAAUCAUGCCCUAAAGAAUCACAUCUAUUGGCCAUAAAAUGCAUAUUUAAAUAUGUUAUAGAUAUGCAAAAUCUAGGUAUAUUUUAUCUAAGAGGAGUUGCCUUUGAUUUAAAAGGAUAAUUAGUACAGACUAUGCGGUAUGCAAAGUAGAACAAAAAAGCACAAAUGGUACUUUUUAAUUUCUAGGACAAUCCCUAGUUUCUUGAUUUAGCAAGAAACAAAAUUCCAUCACACUAUUAACCGCCAAUGCUGAAUAUGUGGCCGCCAAAAGUUGUUGUGCUCAAAUGCUUUAGAUAAAACAAUAAAUGGGGGAAUAUAAUUUAUAUUUUGAUUAUAUUUCAAUCAAUUGUGAUGAUACAAGUGCUAUAAUGUUGUCUAAGAAUCCCAUAUAACAUUCUAGAACAAAGCACAAUGAGAUUCGAUAUCAUUUUCUAAGAGAUCACAUCCAAAAAAGGAAUAUUGAACUUAUAUAUAUGCACACCGAUAAGCAAUAGGCAGAUAUUUUUAUAAAAUCACUUGAUAAGAAAGAUUUUAUUUCAUGAGACGUGAACUUAAUAUGUCUCAACCAAUGUGAAUAUAUUUUGAUUUCUUAAUUAAAUUCAUAAUACUUGAGUUAGUAGGAAUUGAGAAAGAAUAGUUUAAAUCAAAAUUUAUUCUAUAUGAAUAAAUUUAAUUGAUCUAAUAUAAGUUUAUUGAUCGACAAAAAUGUGCAUAGAAGUCUCAAAUUUUGAGAUACAUGAAAUUGAUUCAUAGAAUUAUAUUUUAUAGUUGUUUUAUGUAAGUGUGACUUGUGUGAAGAAAAAAAAUGAGCAGUAAGAUCAAACUUAAGUCAAAAUUCCUUACUGUCAAAUUUUGCAGAUAUAGUAGGAACUUCAUUUGAUCGAACUUGAAGUUUGGUUGAUCGAAGUUGCUAAAUUAAAAGGUCAUGUAUACAUUAAAAAGAACAUUAAUUGAGUCCUAGAAAACCUAUUUCUCUUAAAUACUAAUAUCUUAUAAACACUUAUCUAUUACUCUCUCUCUUUACCUCACUAAAGAAAACACAACCCAUACAAUUCUCUCAAAAUGUUUCAUCAAAUUAGUGUUCUUCAACUUCCAAUUUUCCUGAUUCACUCAACCUCUUGGAAGUUCGAUCGACAAAUCGCAAAAAUAUUGUUGACCGAAUUCACAACUUUGAUCUACUGAAGUAGCAGAAACUACGGGAUAAGAGGGAGGGAUAGAGUUUCAAAUGUUUUCAAGCUUCAAUUUCUUACCCUUUUUAGCUUCUAUCAGAUUCCUCGAGGACAUCUAUCUCUUUUAUCUCAUUAUAAAUAAACCCUAUACCUAUUCCUUAUCAUCAUAUCAAAAUCUCUCAAACCCUAGAUCAAAAGUCUAUGAUUUUUCAGACCAUGAUGCAUCCGAGAACCAAGCACGCAUCGAACGAUCCAAGAGGUGAGAAUACCAAUCCUAAACCUCAAAUGGAGUUCAAACCACAACUAUUCAAGAACAGGAAAAUCCAAAAGACAUGGCUAUCCGAGUUCAAAGAAAGGCCAAUCAUCACGGGAAGGAAAUUUAAGAAAAAUUUCCCACUCAAGUACUACAAGAAAAUGUUGGUGCCAUUGGAACCUCUUGGAUGGAAUGGAUGGCAUCCUCUUCCAACGGACAUGUACUCAAACUUGGUAAGGGUUUUCUACUGCAACUGAGAAGUAGGAAACCUAGAUAAUAUUGUGUACACAAUUGACUCAAAUGUUAGAGGGAAAUAUAUAGUCCUCAAUCCCACGAUCUUAUCUAAGAUCACAGGGAUUGUUAAUGCUAGGGACUACAUCUUUUUCAACAAGUCAAGCCAACUUGAUCAAUAUGUGAGUUAAAAACAUAUGAAUAAAAUGAUCUCCAUAAAUGGAAUAUUAAAAGCCACACAAACCAAGGAUAUGAUAAAGGAAUUCAGACUAUUCCAUACAUCACUUACAAUAUAAUUUCUAAGAAGAGACAUUAUAAUCAAGUGACAACUACGAUAGAAGAGCCUCAUAAUCUAAACUAUAUAAUUCUAAAUGAGAUUGCUAAUAUGAGAAACCAUAGUAGUCGAGCCCUACAUUUUGGUGCUCUCUUGACUAAAAUUUUCAAACACUUUAGAGUCAAGUUUAACAACCAAAUCAAUCAAUAUAUAGGUGGACGUUUUCCUAAACAAAUGAUAAAAAGAGAGACAAGUGUGUUCUCCUCCGAUAAGGAAGAAGAAGAAAGAAGUCACAGUGAUAUGGAGGUUGCAGGAAACUUUGAGGAUCUUCCCCCACAAACCGAGGAAACUUAUGAGGAACUAAGCACUCAAGUGUUCCAACUCCAAAUACAAGAAAAGGAAACGAUGCAGUGGGAGAAUCUUAUGCAAGAAAGGCUUUCAUCGCAAUACGUGCAUUCGACAUGAUUCUUGGAGUACUUUGGAAAGCUCAAUGCCAUAAUGAAACGCGUGGAGCAGCGCCAAGAGAAGUAAGUAGAAUAUUUUGAGCAAAUAGAGUAACGCCAAGAGAAGAAGGAAAGAUACAUUGAGAGGCUCGGUGACUUGUACGAGAACUUGUAUGAGCAGCAAAUCAACUUCAAUAAGCAAUACAACGAUAGGAUGACCAACAUGGAAACUCAGCUUUAGUAUCUCUAGUUCACAACUCAUCCUCCAGCUGAUUUUCCUCUUCCUCCUCCUCCUACACCAUUCGAUGCCCCUAGCUCUUCAUACCGGCCUUCUUGACCUGGACCUAUUGAUGAUUCCCUGAAGGGGGAGAAGAUUUUAGUUUUUUGAUUUAAUUUUUUUAAACAAAUUUCUGAUCAUUUAAAAUUUUUGUUUUAAAAGAAUGUGGUUUGUUUUUUAAUCUAUCUUAGUGUUUGAUAUGCUCCUUUUACAUGCCAUGUUGCUGUGAGUGUGGAUACAUAUGCCAUGUUGCCAUUCUUCUUAAUAUGCUUACUAAGUAUCCCUUGAUUCUAUGUUUAUAUAAUAAGCUUAAAAUAUUAAAACAUAAGAACAAGUUAAACAAGCACAAAGAUAGGGGAUGUUUGAAUAAAGGGGAGCAUGUAAAUUUUAAAACAAGAAUAUGAUUUUCAAAAAUAGUUGUGUCAUCAUAAAAAAUGGGGAGCUUGUUGAAAUAAAGGUUUAUUUGAGUUUUGAUGAUUACAAAUGUUUAACAAUAAGUCAAGUCUAAAAAUCACAUUAAACAACUUAGAAAUACAAGGACCAAAAAUAGUGGUCUUGAAAACAAUCCUACAUAUGAAUAAAAAAAGAUGUUAAGCUCUUUACAAGUCACGUUAAAUAUCAUUGUGCAUAUAAAAGAGGUAGAAAAGAUAAACCAACUCUUAAACUCAAAAUGGAUAGUUAACAAACUUAACUGAUAAAAAGACAAAACACAAAUUGCUACUGUCACAAGUUCGGACCGAACUUGUAUACCGAAGGUUAAAUGAAGCACAAUUGAACUUCAUCAAGUCAUCUAUUAACAGAUAUGAUCACUAGAAAAUCGUUAAACUACGACCGAAGUUCACAUUCAGUCAACCGAAGGCAAAAGAUGCACAACCAAUGUUGAAAUAGAGAACAAGGAUACUCACUGGGAUAACAGUUAAGACACGACUAUAGUUUACAUUCGGUCGACCGAAGUGUCGUCCAAAGUAUGUAAAGCCAAAAUAGAGCAACAUAAGUGAUCUCUAUAAUUACAGAAUAAUGUCGAUGAAAAUAAAAAAGCCCUCGAUCAAAGUUUUAAAUUCAUCAGCCAACAGAGUAUGCAAGUCACUGAAAUUUUAGUUCAAACUCGAUCAAAGUUCAAGUCAGUCGACUAAAGUUUUUGAUCGAAAUUUGAAAAGUUGAUCCUACAAUCCAAAUCAACAUCCAACAACUAAGACUCAAUUAGAACGGCUAGAUUAAAAGCAUUUUUGCUGCAAUAACUAUAAUCGACUUUUGACGAGGGGGGGGGGGAGGAGUGGGUGGGUUGGAGAGGGAGGGAAGGGAAAGAAGUGAAUAAGAUAUAAAGGAGGGGGAAGGAGUCGGGGGGGGGGUGGGGAGAGAAUUACUAAGGGAGGGAGAGGGGUUAUAAAUACAAUUUUGGGUUUGUUUGAAAGGUAUUGAAGUUUUUAACUUUCUACAAUCACUUGUAUUCAAUAUUCCUAAACAAACCUAUUUUAUCUCUUCAUAAUUUGCUUUGUAGUUAACAGUAAAUAUGAUCAAACCGCAUUAAUUUCUUUAAAUUCUUUCUUAUUAUUCUAUUUCUCUUUUCGAUUUUUCUGUAUCUAAAAUCAACAUGAUGACCAUGUUGUUUACUUGUCUAUUAACAAAUUUCUAUAAGAUGUCUUUGAAUGUACAAAAGAUCGUGAGUCACCAAUAGCCAACAGGUCAAAACCUAAACUUUCCAAUCUCAUUAAUAAAUAAAUAAGCAUGUUCUUAUAUAUUCGACACAACUUGUUUGCAGUGCAAUUCCAGAAUCUUGGGGUCUAUUUUGAACCCAUUUUGAUAAUUUAAAUUGUUCAUGUAAUAGAUUUUAUCGUAAAAAUUAAUAUUAUAAAAAAUUAUAUUAAUCAGAUACACAUUAAUAUACAUUUAGUACUAUUUUAUAACUUAAUAAAGUCAAAAAAUUCAAUUAUAAAGUCUAAUCUUUUAUAUUGUAAACCUCAUGAGCAGUUUUAAUAAAUUAAAAAAUGUCAAUACAUCACUACUGCCAUUGUCAACACAUUGUUGUUGGAGAGAUAAAUUUAAUUGUUUAAAAAUUAAAUUUCAUUAAUACCAAGUAUCUCCAUCUGACCACCACCUCCGUCCUCGCCAAUGUUUCUACUAGACAAAUCAACUACAUUUUAAAAAUUCAUUCAAAAAAAUUUUUGCUCAAAAAGUCAUCAUCGGCAACAGGCCAAAAAGUGGCAUCCGGGCACUUUUUGGUAGCCCAAGUUAGUGGUGACGGUGGAAAAUAGUAAAAAAUUAAAAGAAGCGUAGAAAGUAAUAGGAAUAUUUUUUUUUAUUUUAUUAAAAAAGAAUUUUAACUUUAAGAUUUGGUGACAAACGAAUUGUAGCAAGGACUAUGAACCAUCACUUAUGGCUAGAGCUGCUUUUUCAAAAUUGACGAACUCUACUUUCACUUUUUUUCAUGGAUAACAAGUGCGAAUCCAAGUCCACUCAAGCUGGGCUGUAAACAAAUCCAUAGUGACUCGAGACCAAGCCCCACAGUUCCCAAAUCAAAACACUUGGGAUAUUUGAUAACGUUUUUAUUUUUUUUAUUUUUUUUAUUUGUUUAAUUUUUAUUUUAUUUUGUUUAAUUUUUUGUAAAAUAGAAAUUAAAAAUAUUUUUGUGUUCACCUAUUUUUAAACUAUUUAAAAACAAAAUAUGUUUGUGUUAACUUUUUUUAAAACUAUGAAAAAAAAUGUAGAGGGCGUGGUGUGGAGGAAGUGGGUCGGUUGGAGGUGAUGGUGGAGGUGGAGGGGUCUGGUGUUGGAGGUGGAAGGACGGUUGCGUGGUGAUUGGUGGUGGUGGUGGUGGUGGUGGUGGUGGUGGUGGUGGUGGUGGUGGUGGUGGUGGUGGUGGUGGUGGUGGUGGUGGUGGUGGUGGUGGUGGUGGUGGUGGUGGUGGUGGUGGUGGUGGUGGUGGUGGUGGUGGUGGUGGUGGUGGUGGUGGUGGUGGUGGUGGUGGUGGUGGUGGUGGUGGUGGUGGUGGUGGUGGUGGUGGUGGUGGUGGUGGUGGUGGUGGUGGUGGUGGUGGUGGUGGUGGUGGUGGUGGUGGUGGUGGUGGUGGUGGUGGUGGUGGUGGUGGUGGUGGUGGUGGUGGUGGUGGUGGUGGUGGUGGUGGUGGUGGUGGUGGUGGUGGUGGUGGUGGUGGUGGUGGUGGUGGUGGUGGUGGUGGUGGUGGUGGUGGUGGUGGUGGUGGUGUGGUGGAAAAAAUUUAGAUAAAAAAAUUUUGAAUGAAAAAGUUUUAUAAACAAAACAAAAAUAACUUUUUCUUGUUUUUACUAUUUUCAAAAAUAGUGGAAGUUGUUUAGCCUUAUUUUUUCAUUUAUUUUUUUCAACACAAACAAGAUUUUGUUUACGUUUAUUUUCAAAAACAGAAAUUAAACAAAAAAAUAAAAAUUAAACAGUUAACAAACAAGCCCUUAGCUUUGAAAUAUGUUAAAUGAAUUAUUUUUUUCCAUGCUAAAUAGUUUGUGGUUUUGUGGAGGUUGUUGGUGCAUGAGUACGGGUACUUUUUUUGAAGUUGGAAUUUGGACUGCACCAGUUCAAGUUUUUUAAACUUUUAGUCCCUUUGUAUAUUCCAUCUUUAAAAUUUUAGAACUCAGUAACUUUUAACCCAUUAGUAUCCACUAGAAAUAUCAUUUCACUACAAGAAAAGAAAAAGAUUUUUUGCCUCAAGGACGUGCCGCCACAAAUAAUCACCUUUCCGUUGUAAAAAAUUUUUGCCCCGGAGGACUAGGUGGCAAUUGGUGGGUUUGCAAGAGCUUUUUGCGGUGGCAUCAGACCAUGGCAAAUACUGUAGCCACACUUUACAAUCAAUAAUCCUAAGUCAAAAAAUGAGUCACGAUCGACCACUUGAAUGAUAUUGACAGCAUCCUUCAAACCUAAUGGGAAAAUUGUUACUCGAAAACAUAAACCCCUCAUGGCUUAAAAAUUUUCACCAUGGUCUAGUCAAAUCUAUAGUACCAUUAAAAAUGAUUCUGUCAAAUUGAAAUGUUAAAGGAUGCACACAAAUCAUAAUAUUAAGUCUGCCUAGGCGUCAAAAUUGUGGGAAAAACAAAUUUUCACUUGGCUGGUAGUUCAGUAGCUAUUUGGUGAGUUAAAAAGAGGAUAUUCUUAUUCAAGGGAAGAAUAAUGACGGGGGGACAUCCUUUCUCUUCCAGAUCAGAAGAAUAUACAACACAUCUGCAUCUACAUUAUCAAUCUCCUCUCUCUCCCAACUUUAAAAUCUUUCAGAUAUUUCUAAGUAACAUCCCUAAUAAACUUGGCAUUGGUCCAAAGUCGUGCAGCAUUAAAGCCUAUCAUGUCCCUCUCUUCCAUCUUUAAAAUCUUUCAGAUAUUUCAAGAAAACAUCCCUAAUAAACUUGAUAUUGAUCCAAAGUCGUGCAGCAUUAAAGCCUAUCAUGUCCCUCUCUCCCAUCUUCACAAUCUUCCAAAUAUUUCAAGAACAUAUCCCUAAUAAACUUGAUAUGAUCCAAAGUCGUGAAACACCAAAGUCUAUCAUGUCCAUCUCUUCCAUCUUUAAAAUCUUCCAAAUAUUUCAAGAAAACAUCCCUAAUAAUCUUGACAAUGAUCCAAAGUCGUGUAGCAUUCAUACCCCUCUCCCAUCUUUAAAAUCUUCCAAAUAUUUCAAGAAAACAUCCCUAAUAAAUUUGAUAGUGAUCCAAAGUCGUGCAACACUAAAGUCUAUUAUGUCUCUCUCUUCCAUCUCUAAAAUCUUCCAGAUAUUUCGAGGAAACAUCCCCAUAAUCUUGGCAAUGAUCCAAAGUCGUGUAGCAUUCAUACCCCUCUCCCAUCUUUAAAAUAUUUCAAAUAUUUCAAGGAAACAUCCCUAAUAUAGUUGGUAGUGAUCCAAAGUCACGUAGCAUCAAAGCCUAUCAUGUCCCUCUCUCCCAUCUUUAAAAUCUUCAAGACAUUUCAAGGAAAUAUCUCUAAUAAACUUGGCAAUGAUCCAAAGUCGUGUAGCAUUAAAGCCUAUCAUGUCCCUCUCUCCCAUCUUUAAAAUCUUCAAGAUAUUUCAAGGAAACAUCCUUAAUAAACUCGGGAAUGAUCCAAAGUCGUGCAGCAUUAAAGUUUACCAUGUCCCUCUAUUCCAUCUUUAAAAUCUUCCAAAUAUUUCAAGAAAACAUCCCUAAUAUAGUUGGUAGUGAUCCAAAGUCAUGUAGCAUUAAAGCCUAUCCGUCCCUCUCUCCCAUCUUUAAAAUCUUCCAAAUACUUCAAGAAAACAUCCCUAAUAAUCUUGACAAUGAUCCAAAGUCGUGUAGCAUUAAAGCCUAUCAUGUCCCUCUCUCCCAUCUUUAAAAUAUUCAAUAUAUUUCAAGGAAAUAUCUCUAAUAAACUUGGCAAUGAUCCAAAGUUGUGUAGCAUUAAAGUGUAUCAUGUCCCUCUAUUCCAUCUUUAAAAUCUUCAAGAUAUUUCAAGAAAACAUCCCUAGUAUACUUGGCAGUGAUCCAAAGUCGUUUAGCAUUAAAGCCUGUUGAAAUAAAAGUUUAUUUUAUUUUGAUGAUUAAGCUAAGUCAAGUUUAAACACCGAUGAAAAUCGUAUUAAGGAAGAAAAAAUAAACAAACACGUGCUAAACUUAUAUUAGUCACAAACAAAUUUAUUUUAAGAAGAAAAGAACUACAAAGAUUGAUAAAACAACUUAGAAUUCCAAUAACUGAAGUCAACUGGUUUACAUUCGUAAAAGAAACAACAGUGGUAUUGAAAGUAAAGCUAAUCAUGUUUAAAGUGAGAAUUGAAACUCUCUACAAAUCAUAUUCAAUGCUAUCAUUCACGCAAAAAUGGUAGAAAAGCUAAAUAAAAGAUUGAACUCAAAUUGAAUAGUUAACCGCCCAAAUUGAUAAAAAGACAAAGCAUAAACUGCUAUUGUCACAAGUUCAAUCUACCGAAUUAAUUGACCAAAGCUUAAGAGUCUCAACCAAAGUCUGAAGGUUCAAAAUAGUUGCCCAAGUUGCUCACUCAAAAUAUAGUUCAGACAACACCGAAGUUCACAUUAGGUCGACCAAAGUUAAAGAAGGUACAACCAGAAAGUGAAAUAGAGGACAUGCGUGCUCACUAGAAAAACAGGUUUACUACGACCAAAUUUUAUAUUCGGUCGAUCGAAGUUAAGAAAAUCACAGCUGAAUUUAAAACAGAGCAACUAAGUGCUCUCUAGAAUUGAAGAACAACGUCUAUCAAACUUGACAUUCGGUUGACUGAAAGGAAAAAGCCCUCGACUGAAGUUAUAAAUCACUUAGUAGACAGAAUGAACAAGCCAUUAGAAUUUCAUUACAACCACGAUCGAAGUUCAAGGUCGGUUGGCCGAAGGUGUCGAUUGAAGUUCGAAAAGUUGAUCCUGACUGUCCAAAUAAAGAUUUAACGGCUGAGAUUCAAUCAGAAUGACUAGAUCAGAAGUAUCAAAUUCUGUAACGACUCUAAUCUACUUUUGGCUUAUAAAUACAAUUUUGGGGGUUGUUGGUAAUAUAUUGAAGUGCCAUAUAUUUUUAAAAUCACUUGUAUUCAAUACUUCAAUCCCUUUAUCAUUUACUUAUGAGUUUUGAUUUGUGAGAGUUAGAUCACUCUAGACAAAAGAAAGUUUCAUUAUAAUUAUCCUUGUUCUAGAAUUGGUUAGAUAAGAGUUACUUUAAUUGGAAAAAUCAAUAUAAGUUCUAGUGUUUGUAAAGGUUGUGAAGAUCAAUAUAGUUCCCAAGAGAUGGAGUCUCUUGAACACUAGAAGAGUUCUAGUGUUUGUAAAGGUUGUGAAGUACCCGCAAACUUGAAGAUAGUAAAUUUUCAAGGAGAAUCUUGAAGAGUAGACGUAAAUCGAGAUUUGUCAGACCACUAUAAAUCUACGUUCCAAUCGAGUUUUAAAAAACAAUUAUAACUAAACAACGUAUAUUGCAAAUAACUAAACAUCUUCUAUUGUAGAGCACAACUUAUGUAAAACCUUGAUAAUUCAAACAUAAAAAUAAGCUUUUUAAGAUGUUCUUGACCCACAAAUAAAAAGCAAAAUUUGUGACGAGCUUUCUAAAACAUGAAAAAGCGAAAACUGCAACCACCAAAAUUGUGGGCAAUACUCCGAGGAUUCUUAGGGCAAGUAUUUGACGCUGACCUGGAACACAUGUCUCGCUCUUUGAUUAAAGCAUAUGCUCAAAAUCACAUUUUUAAAGAUAAAAUCACGCUUAUUUUCAUUAUUUUACGAAUAAAAAGUUUUAAUACAUCAUUACUGCACUGUCAACACAAUUGUGAUUGGAGAGGGAAAUUUCAUUGUUUUCACCAAGUCCAAGUCUACUACUGUUGAGUUGUAAACAAAUCCAUAGUAUCAAGACCAAACCCCCCCAGUUCCCAAAUCAAAACACUUGGCCUUGAAAUAUGUUAAAUCAACAAAUUUUUUUCCAUGCAAAGUAAGUAGUGCGUUUUGUGGAGGUGCUGGUGAGAUGAGUUAAGGGUAUUUUUUUUAACGACCUAGUUCCUUUAAAGUUGGAAUUUGGAUUGCUCCAGUGCAAUUCAAAUUUUUUGAGUUCACUUUGGGCUAAGUUUGAUCAUUCAAAAUGUUUAUAUUGUAAACUCUAAUGUCAAGAUCAGUAUUACAAAAGAUGCGUUGAUCGAAACACAAUCUAGAAUCCGUUUAUUACUGUCUCAUAUUCGAAACUUCUGAAGUGUCAUCAAUUUUUAAUUUGGGGUUUAAAUCCAUUGUUAAUGGACAGUGAGAUUAAUUCUUUAAAUUAGUGGGUCCUGAGACAGAUACCGAAUUAUUAAAAAUAGUAUAUUUGUGGAAAAUAUUAUACAAUUAAUUAUUAGGAACGAAAGAGAUUAGGAGCUUUUAGUCCCUGCUCUUUUACUCCUACUAUCCAUGCCUUCAAAACAAAUGAAUGUGUGUAUGUUUUUAUCACUUCAAUCCAUUCCUAACAACCCCAAGGGUUAAUUUUAAAAGUUCCAAAUUGGAUAGAGACGUUGCAUCAUUAAUUGCACUAAAAAGAACCGUUCUGAUUUGAUUUCAGUCAUUGGAUCUGAGAUUUUGAUAUGCUAGAGUGAAAUUUAAAAGUCGGUCGUCGUACUUUCUAAAACUUUGGUUGACCGAACUUUAACUUCGGUCAUGUUUGAACUGAAUCUCUAAGUGGCUAAGUUAAUUGCUCUAUUUUACUUUCCUGAACUUCGAUCGUCCCUAAUUUGGACUUUAGACUUCGGUCAACUAAAUUUUAAGUUCGGUCGUUUUUGUACUGCAUUUUCAGGGGUUUGCUUAGAUACUCUGCUUAGAUACUCUGCUUCAUCUUUUGAAUUUGGCUUCUACCUUAAAGAUUCGGCUGUGCUCUGAACUUUGGUCGUGUACUUCUGAAUGUUCGGUCGACCAUUAAGUUGGAUUGUCAUUAGCUUGUUUUUCCAGAGAGCUUUUACUUACAUUAUUAAUUGAGAGUUCCUAGCAUUCGGCUGUGCUUUGGGACUCAGUUCUUGAACUUUGGUCGAUCCUUCUUGGACUUCGGUCGCCUCUGACUGAGUUUCUGAGAGCAUACUCUGUUCUUAACAAUAAUCUUUGUUUUGCUUGUGUUAGCAUUCGACGUUCAAACUCUUUUAGAUCUACCCAAGUCUAUUUCUAAGACCACCCUUUAUUUUUCUUUUUAUCGAUGAUUUUCAAACGCAACUUAGUUUAAUCCUUUGUAAUCAUCAAAAUUAAUUACUUUAUUUAAUAAAUAUAAUUUAUUUGUAAAAGAAAAGUGUAAUUUUUUUGAUGGUGUCAAUUGACCCCACGACCAUUGUGACAUAUACCCCGAGGAUUCUUACGGUAAGUAUUUUAGGUGACGGAACACAUGUCUCAGUCUUUGAGUAAAGCAUACGCUCAAAAUCACAAUUUUUAAAGAUAUUCCACAUAUUUUUCAUUAUUUCACCAAUAAAAUAGUAUCAAUACAUCACUACUGUCAGCACUAUUGUGGUUGGAGAGAGAAAUUUCAUUAUUUUAUCAAGUCCAAGUCCAAGUCCAAGUCCAAGUCCAAGUCCACUCCUGCUGAGUUGUAAACAAAUACAUAGUGGCUCAAGACCAAACCCCACAGUUUCCAAAUCAAAACACUUUGGCUUUGAAAUAUGUUAAAUCAACAAUUUUUUUCCAUGCAAAAUAGUUACUGUGGUUUUGUGGAGGUUGUUGGUGCAUGAGUUAUGGAUAUUUUUUUAACGACCUAGUUUCUUUGAAGUUGGAAUUUGGAUUGCACAAGUGCAAUUCAAGUUUUUUGAGUUCACUUUUGGACCCUGUUUGAUCAUUUAAAAUAUUUAUAUUGUAGACUCUGAUGCCAAGAUCAGUAUUAAAAAAAGACCACGUUGAUCGAAUAAAUUUAGAAUCCGUUCAUUAAUAUCCCGGAUUCGAAACUUCUUAGGUGUUACUAAUUCUUAAUUUGGGUUCAAACCCACCGUUAAUGGACAGGAGAUUAAUUUUCUAGAUUAGUGGGUCUUGAAUCAAAUACCGAGUUAUCAAAAAUACUAUAUUGUGGAAACUAUUAGUACAAUUAAUUUGUUAGGAAUGUAAGAGAUAGGAGCUUUUAGUCCCUGCUCUUUUUGGCCUACUAUCCCUUUCCUUGCAAAACAUAUGUAGUGUAUCCCAUCUUUAAAAUUUUAGAACUCAGUAAUUUUCUUGUAAGUUGUAACUCAUUAGUAUCCACAAGAAAUAUCAAAAAUAGUCACCUCUCCGCCGUAAAAACUCUUUGCCACGGAAGGACUAGGUUGGCAAUUGGUGGGGUUGCAAUAACUUUUUGCGUUGACAUCAGACCAUGGCAAACACUGUUGCUACACUUUUUCAACUAAUAAUCCCAAGGCAAAAAAUAACAGUAUAAAUUGUUACUCUAAAACAUUAAUCCCUCAUGGCUUAUAAAUUUUCAACAUGGUCUAGUCAAAUCCAUAUUACUAUUAAAACGAAAGAUGUUUGUCGACUUUUCAAUUCCCAAAAUGCCCUUGGUUCAAUAAAAAAAGGAAUAUUGAAGUUGUGAUUUUGUUUUUGAGGAAAAAAAAAAACUUACUCUCACUUAGACACGUAAAACCAAGCCUUUUAUUUUACUCCUCCAGAAUUCAUUCUAUUCAUUCCAGCCAUAACAGACAACGCUUCGGUAAUCCUAUCAACUCCAUUGUGUCUUCUUCAAUUGCCCAAUAGCUUCUUCUUCACUCUUAUCUUCGAAAGAAACUUUCCCUUGAUUGUUUAUGCUAUCUAACCUAAAUCAUUCAGAGAGCAGGAGAGGUGGAAAUAAUAGCAGCUUUCUAAAUGAACCCUAUUAUUUAGGAGAUGUCUUUCUACUUGGGAAGUGGAGCAAACAUAGUCUACUUCAAAUGAAAAUUGAGGAGUGGAUUCCGGUUACGGAUAAGAAUGAUUCUCUCAAAUUGAAAUGUUAAAGGAUGCAUAUAAUCAUAAUAUUAAGUCUGCCUUGGUGUCAAAUUGUGAUAUUUAGUAAGUUAAAAAGAGGAUAUUCUUAUUCAAGGGAGGAAUAAUGAUGGGGAUGUCUUUUCAUCUCUAGAUCAGAAGAAUAUACAACACAUUUACAUCUAUAUUAUGAAUCUCCUCUCUAUCCCAACUUUAAAAUCUUCCAGAUAUAUUAAGAAAGCAUCCCUAAUAAACUUGGCAUGGUCCAAAACGUGUAGCAUUAAACCUUAUCAUGUCCCUCUCUUCAUCUUUAAAAUCUUCAAGAUAUUUCAAAAAAACAUCCCUAAUGAACUUGACAGCGGUCCCAAGUCGUGUAGCAUUAAAUCCAUUGUUUGUCCCUCACUACAAUCUUUAAAAUCUUCAAGAUAUUUCAAGGAAACAUCCCUAAUAAACUUGACAAUGAUCCAAAGUUGUGUAGCAUUCUCUCCCAUCUUUAAAAUCGUCAAGAUAUUUUAUAGAAACAUCCCUAAUAAACUUGAUUGUGAUUCAAAGUAGCGUGUUAUGUCCCUCUCUUUUAAAGUAUAAUUUAUUAUUUAUUUUAUUAAUUAAUUCCAGAUAUCAAGUCAACACAUGGUAGGCUUUUAAAAUUACAUUUUGUGGCUGAAGAUGGUACCUGUCAUUCAAAAUAUUGACCCUUGCCGAGGUUGGUGAAUUGACUGCAAGCGGAGGACAAUUACACACAUUGUCUUGGCCUUGGAUAUUUCUCAUCUAAACUAAAAAUUUGGACUGUAAAUGGUGGCAGUUGACAAAAUGGGCCCAUCAAUGGAUGAGUACUAACAAAAGAAUUUAUUAAAAACCGAAAGAUCUCUUAAAAAAGCCAAAAUUUGGAGACUUGUUAGACAUAUAAUUUGGGGCCAAUUUUGAACAAAAACAAAUGAGGAAUUCAUACGUCUUUUUAACCGGAUCCAAAUUCGAAUAUGCUAUCUAUGUGAGAUGAUUAACAUCCGAUAUUUUUUUUAUUCAAAACGAAUAAAGAGUGAAUGAAAAAUUGACACCAAAAUUCACUAGUUGAAUAUUAGGUGAAGAAUGGUUAAAAAAUUGUUCCGCAUUGGUCAUUUAUGAGACCUUUAGUGGGUUUACAGGCUUCUCCUUGAACUUGGGCUUGGACUAAGGGGCACCACGGUUCUCUGGAGGAGGGAGGACCUAGCACCUUAUGUGUUGACCUUUUCAAAAGUUUUUAUUUUUCAGCACCUUAUUAUUUUUUAUAUAUGAUUUUAAAGCGGUUCAAAAGUUUCUUAUAGUUGUGGUAAUUGGGUCCUUUCAUUACGUAGUUUCGGCCAUAUGCUACGUAUAUGGGCAGUCAAAUGAGCAAAAACUUUCAUUAACAAAUUAAACGAUUGCUCUGAAGAGUUACAAAGGAGAAUGUGUGAAGAACUUUCUCUCCAAAGCCCCACCAAAAUCAAAUAUAAAUUUUCUCCAAACCUUAACUAGAAUCAAACCAAAAACUUUGUCAAACAAAAGGAUUAAAGAUUCACCAAAGUCCUCAAUUGUGGCACCAAAGGAACUACAAAGUUCGUCCAAAUACUAAGGGUCAACCCAGUCCCCUAUAGGGGGCUUCAAAGGAACUAUGAAGUUUAACAAUAUGAGAGUCUUUCCAAAUUUAUAACUAUGGAAUCCCUCAUAAAAAGAUAGUGUAUGGAAAUCUAUUACUUUCUUGUAGUGAUUUCUUUUAUUUUACUUUUUGAUUUAUUUCUAAAAUAUGCAGGGUUCCAUUUUAAGAGUUCGCUUAGGAAAGCUUAGGGCCGGCCCCUGAUUAGAUUCAUGUAUAAGUCAGUAAAUAAAGAGAUUUCAUGCACUGUUGAUUCACUGUGAAAACAAAUUGAAGUAUUUUAUUUGUUCAGCGUACAAUCACUGUAUUUCAAGAGACAGACAUCUAAAACAGUAAACACAGUGAUGAAGGAAAAUUCUGCAUUCAAGGACAUAGUGUUAAACACGAGCCUUGAUUAUUCUCCUUCGAAUUGCUCAUUGCAGAUUCUACAAUUUUUUUAUACAAAGCAUAUCUUCUUCUGCAAUCAGUCUUUUGUGUUCAAACCACAGGAUCUGUUUCUGAUUUUGUCUCUAAAAGUAAUUGUUGUUUCCAAAACAGUUUUGGGUUAUGUUUAUGCAAAAUCAGAGUUUUUAAAUAAUUUAGUUUCUGCAAAUUAAAUCUGUUUCUAUAAUUAUAUAUAUCCAAAUGUAUGGAAUGAUUUUUCCUUUUAGCUCCCAUUCAUAUUGAUACUAGCGGAGGUACUAGACCUCAUAGGAAUCAAACUAAGUAAUUGUGGGGUUGUUGUUAUACGAAAGGAGGAGAGGAAAUCGAGGAUAGACACCCGCGGUGGUCCUAGAAGCUGCGUGGGUGGCUCUGGCCUCCUGAGCGACUGACUUGUGAUGCCUUGCUUGUGAGCACAACAACAGUAAGAAUGGUCGCCGGAGUUGUUUUUGAGAAAUAGCUCUCUGACGGUCAAGUUAGACGUCUAGAAUCAUAGAGAGAGAAAGUAUGUGCAUCUUUGGUUGGAGUACAUUCACAUCUGCGUCUAUGAGAACAACCGUGUUCUCCUUUAUACCUAGACUCAGCACGUGACUCGACGUUUGCUGUGUCAGUGAGUGGGUGGCUGGCCAAGCAUCUAUGGCGUGGCUAGAAGCUUACCAUCAACCUGUCGCGUCUCCAUUAGGGCAUGGAGGCUGUCAGAAGGCACUUGCCAUGCAAAUUACCUUUUGUCCCCAAUCAUCCUUUGGGAUUAGCACUAGCCGUUACCCCUCGCCCAAGCUUUUAGCGCAGUUAUUAUUUUGAGGUCGCUAAGUAGCAGCACCUUGGGGGUAGGGAUGGGCUUAGCUCGGGAGGGCAUUCUUUUGUAGUGGUGAUUCUCCGAGCUCCGGCAUAGUGGGUCUCCGAGCUCGCCCCGUGGCGACGGUUGGUCAAACCUCUACCCUAGCAAGGUCAAUGUCGAAUGGUGCCUAUACCAAGCUCCAGCAUAGGGAGCCACCGAGCUCACUCUGUCGAGAUAGCUCGUUGGUGGGUUCCUUCCCUAGUAGGGUCAAGUUAUGUCAUUGUAUAAUUUUUUCCCUUACGAUUGUCCCUUAGUAUGCAUGAGUUGGGUAGAUGCUUGCCGAGAUCAUGUGAGCUGGAUGUGCUCGCUCUUUAGGUUCGGUUCUUGUUGGGCAAGCCAAG